rnacentral:lncRNA from 1 species
GUCUCUUGAGAAGAAUCUCUUGAAGGACAAUCUCUAAGGAAGUCUCUCAAGGAAGGCUGACUCUGGCUGGAACUUCCUCUGGGGAAACUCUGUCCCCUUGAAUCCUCGCUUGAACAGAUCUUAUGGUCACAGGUUUUCUACCAUUGAAGCAAGAGGUAAUAGCCAUGGGAUCACUAGACCACAGAGGUGUAGAAUUGGAAAGGACCCUCAAAGGCCAUUGGGACCAACCUCUUCAUGAGGAAACAAAAAUUAGAUGA